ACUGCACACUGUUAAAGCUUAGAGUGAAGGUCAGCCUUGGCCAAUGAACUUCUGAGUGUCGGAAGUACGCUACCUUAAAGGCAGGAUUUUCACUAACACCAGUAGAGAGCUUCCCUCUAUGACUGGCGUUUGAUAGUUCUCACUGCCAAAUAC
ensembl:snoRNA SNORA62 Small nucleolar RNA SNORA62/SNORA6 family